CUUUAAGUCCCAGUGUGCCUUGGUGCCUCUGUCGGUUAGUGACUGGCUUCAUUUCAGCUUAUGGUCUCAUAGUUCAGGAGUUCAAGCCCCACAUCGGGCUCUGUGCUGACAGCUGAAGCCUGCUUCAGAUUCUGUGUCUCCCUCUCUCUCUGCCCUUCCCCCACUUGUGCUUGCUCUCUCUCAGAAAUAAUAAACAUUAAAAAAAAAAAAAAAAGUUAAAAAACUUGAAGUCCUGUAAUGUAAUUGAGAAAAAAAAAGUUCCAAAGUAGACGUUGACAGAUUGUUUUCUUUGUUGUACCCCUAGUCCCCAAAGUGUCAUUUUGCCCCUGCUAUUGAAUUUUAGUUUUUACACAGAGUUUCAGUUUGGGCCCAUCAGAGCUGAAUGCUCAGUUUCCUGAUUCCAUUCUUAAACUGCCCAAUUUAUGAAAAUGCUCUUAGGAUUUCUUAGGGGCGCCUGGGUGGCUCAGUUGGUUAAGUGUAGGACUCUUGAUUUCGGCUCAGGUCAUGAUCUCACAGUCAUGUUGGUCUCUGCACGGGGUGUGGAGCCUGCUUGAGAUUCUCUCUCUCCUGCUCGGGCUCUCACUCUCUCUCAAAAGAAAUAAAUAAACAUUUUUUUUUUAAGGAUUUAAAAAAAUCUGAUAGUUGGAUCAUGUACCUUUUAUUGUCACCUAAUGAUAUCCAGGGAGGAGGGAAAACUCAUUCCUGAAACUUUAGUCAUUUGAUAUUCAUUUUAAAUUAACUGAAAUAAAUGAAUAAGUUAUUUUAAAUUUUAGUUUAAAAUUUAGUUAAAAUUCAAACCAAUGAACUUAUCUUCAACUUUCCCUUCUCCCUUCCUACCCCCAUUCUGAAAUCGUUAAAGGUAUAGUAUCUUCAUUGUUUUAGAGACUGUGUCUGUAAAAAUCACAUAUGCCAUGGUUCCUUUUUAUAUAUCUCAGGACUGUUGCCCUUGGAAAAUAGGAAAGAGAAACCUUUCUAAGACCUCAUUAUAGUUUCUCCUCCCAGAACUCUGUGUAGAUCUUAAGGCUGUCUGGUAGCAAAAGCUAUCUAGGAUUCCAGAAAAGAGGCGGAAACCUAUCCCAAGAUAAGCUUAUUGGCAAGACCCUUUGAAAUGAUGAUGGAUUUCCAGCUGUCAUUUUCCAGCUAAAUACCAGUCUCUCAGUUCAAUACUCUGUCUGUGCAGUAGUGUCUAAACUGUUUGCCAGAGGGUAUUCUCCUUGGGGAAUACCUGCAAACUUUUCACCAAAUCAGAGGAAGAGAGAAGCAUUGUUCUGAGGUGCUUUGUAUGUUAAAUACAGAGUGUGUUCAUGGUAAAGAACUUGAUUUGUGUUCUUACAAGUUUGACUUACCAGCCACAAUCUUAGAUAAGCAGUAUUCUUUUCUGUUGCACGUUGAAGGUGAUUUCUGAUGGUUAUUAGGUAAUGAAGUCUGGAUGCCUUAUGGUUGGUUAUAAUGUAUAACUGAUCCUUAAGAAAUUCCUGGUUUAUAGUAAAUGAGCUGUAUUUCUUUAAUUGCCCAACUUGUUCCUCUAAAGUUUAUGGUAGAAGGAGAGGUGGUAAUUAACAUUGUGCAGAAGGGGAUUCAGAGCCAGUGAAAUUCUGGCUUGAAAUUUAAACAGAAUCUGCUAGAACUGAAGUCAGUUACUCCGAUCAUUUGCUCUGAGCACGGGCAUCUAACUGACCUUGAAUUUGAAUCGUGCUCCUACCACUAGCACACUAUGUGUUUUGGGGAAAGGUUGUUAAUUUCUCUAGGCCUCAAUUUCCUCACCUGUAAAUUCUGGAUAACACCUGAUUCACAGGGUUAUGAGUAUAAAUAACUUCAUGCGUCUAAAGCACCUGCCUAACCCAUAGCAACUACUUACUAAAUGGUAAUUAUCACCAUUAAUAUCACAGUGCAGUCAGGGACGCCUGGGGGCUCAGUCAGUUAAGCGUCCAACUCUUGAUUUUGGCUCAGGUCAUGGGCUCACAAUUCUGUGAGUUUUAGCCCCACUUCAGGCUCUGUCCUGACAGCUGGGAGUCUGUUUGGGAUUCUGUUUCCCUCUUUCUGUUCCCUCCCCUGCUUGUUCUCUCUCUCUCUCUCUCUCUCUCUCUCUCUCUCUCUCUGUGUGUGUGUGUGUGUCUGUCUCUCAAAAAUAAGUAAAUAAACAUUAUAUAUAUAUAUAUAUCACAGUACAUUCAGGUGGGCGGAUUCACAAGUCCCAUACUAAAAUCAUUUAAAAAUUAUUCAAGGCAUUACUUAUACAAAAAAAAUAAUUUAUACAAAGACAUGUAAUAAUUAUUUUACCGUAGUAGAUUUGUACAGUUGCUUAAGCACCUAACUUAGUAAUUUAGAUCCUAGGAAGAACAAGCCCCCUAUAUCCUUAAAAGUCUUGGGGCCCCUGGGUGGCUCAGUCGGUUAAGCGUCCAACUCGUGAUUUCAGUUCAGAUCGUCUCAGCGUUCGUGAGAUUGAGCCCCAUGUCGGUCUCUGCGCUGACAGUGAAGAGUCUGCUUGGGAUUUUCUCUCUUCCUCCCUCUCUCUCUGCCCUUCCCCUGCUCACUCACUCUCAAAAUAAAUAAACUUUUUUUUUUGUUUUUUUUUUUUUUUAAAGAGGAAAAAAUGUCUUUCCCUUACAGGUAGAGGCACUUCACCAAUUUGAAGUGUCUUGCAUCCAGGUGGUUUUAGCUUAAGGAUUGAGAGAAUUGAAAGGAUUCUGAGAGUAUUGGACAACUAGUGAACAAACAUUGGAAAAGUAUCAUUGUCUUUCAGCUGCUUAGCUCCAGCCAGUGUUUGAGCCUCAUGUAUGGAUGAGGAAAAUGAUACUCAAAGAAGGUGAUGAUACCUUCUCCAAACCACCAAGGAGCGCCAGAAUUUCACCCCAGAGCCCGCAACCUUCUCCCCCUCCCGCAACCGCCCCCAGUGUCAAGUCUCAAUUGGCAAUUUCUCCCUGCUUCACUGAGAGGUAAAAUGCAUCUCUGUUAAUCAAGCCAUUCCCAGCUCCGCAAGUGCCCCUGCACGUUAGUUAAAAACCAGGUGACAUCUCAGAGCAGACGUGGCUGAAAGCACUGACCGUUCAAAGUAUUGUUGUGGUGCACGUCGAGAAGGUGAAAAUACUCCACCAAGACCUUCACGUUCCUCACGGAUAACAGGCAGUAUAGCUUGUCCAGAUAGAGAUACCACAGAAACGAGCCCUGCUUCAGUUUCAUCGUGGCGCUCCGGAGGCCGAAGGCGCGGGCGACCUGGAACAGAGGAGGGUUCUGGAACUAGAAUGCUGGCUCGAGAGAGGCUCUGGGAGUAGGCAGAGACAUCACAGGAAGCAGUCAGUAAAAAAAUUAAAAUUGCUUCCUCCCAGUCUUCUGGCCUGGCUGGUAGUAUCUGUGGUCUUAAAUCUCUCGUAGCUACCUUGGUUUUCCUCUGCUGCCACAUCACCAGUUGUACCUGUAAAUCACAGACUGUUUAGAAAUGAUUGCGAGAACACUCUCUGCUUACACUCUGUCUCUCUC